rnacentral:rRNA from 1 species
UACGGAGGGUGCAAGCGUUAUCCGGAUUCACUGGGUUUAAAGGGUGCGUAGGUGGGCAGGUAAGUCAGUGGUGAAAUCUCCGGGCUUAACCCGGAAACUGCCAUUGAUACUAUUUGUCUUGAAUACCGUGGAGGUCAGCGGAAUAUGUCAUGUAGCGGUGAAAUGCUUAGAUAUGACAUAGAACACCAAUUGCGAAGGCAGCUGGCUACACAUAUAUUGACACUGAGGCACGAAAGCGUGGGGAUCAAACAGG